CUUCAAUGCCAGCUGACACAAAGGAGAGGCGAAUAUUUUUCCCGAGGUGAAGAGGAUAGUAAAACAGUUCAUCACAUGCAGCCUGUGUUGCCUAUUCCUCUGCUGCAAAUGCUGGUGUCAGCCAGAUACGGAUACCCUCUGAUGGGCCGGAUAUCGCAGGUGAAGGACCGGAUCCUGG